AAUGAACGCUGGCGGCAUGCCUAACACAUGCAAGUCGAACGAGACCUUCGGGUCUAGUGGCGCACGGGUGCGUAACGCGUGGGAAUCUACCCUUGGGUUCGGAAUAACUCGCCGAAAGGCGUGCUAAUACCGGAUAAUGACGUAAGUCCAAAGAUUUAUCGCCCAAGGAUGAGCCCGCGUAGGAUUAGCUAGUUGGUGAGGUAAAAGCUCACCAAGGCGACGAUCCUUAGCUGGUCNGAGAGGAUGAUCAGCCACACUGGGACUGAGACACGGCCCAGACUCCUACGGGAGGCAGCAGUGGGGAAUAUUGGACAAUGGGCGAAAGCCUGAUCCAGCAAUGCCGCGUGAGUGAUGAAGGCCUUAGGGUUGUAAAGCUCUUUUACCCGGGAUGAUAAUGACAGUACCGGGAGAAUAAGCUCCGGCUAA
rnacentral:rRNA from 1 species